rnacentral:rRNA from 1 species
GAUGAACGCUAGCGGCAGGCCUAACACAUGCAAGUCGAGGGGCAGCAUAGGGUAGCAAUACUCUGAUGGCGACCGGCAAACGGGUGAGUAACGCGUAUGCAACCUACCCUGUACAGGGGGAUAACCCGGAGAAAUUCGGACUAAUAUCCCGUAAUAAUAUCCGGAGGCAUCUUUGGAUAUUUAAAGUUCCGACGGUACGGGAUGGGCAUGCGUAACAUUAACUGGUUGGUAAGGUAACGGCUUACCAAGGCUAUGAUGUUUAGGGGUCCUGAGAGGGUGGUCCCCCACACUGGUACUGAGACACGGACCAGACUCCUACGGGAGGCAGCAGUGAGGAAUAUUGGUCAAUGGGCGCAAGCCUGAACCAGCCAUCCCGCGUGCAGGAAGACGGCCCUAUGGGUUGUAAACUGCUUUUCCAGGGAGAGAAACUUACGCACGUGUUGCGUGACUGACGGUACCCUGGGAAUAAGCAUCGGCUAACUCCGUG